CACGCUGAAGUAGAACUUGUGCUCUGCCGUGUAAUACAUUUCCCUAGAGAUGGAAGUCACAAUGGCCUGCCUGCCUUCCUUAAGAGGAGACAGGCCACAGACAGUCUCGCUUCCAGCUGUUUGGCAAGGUCAGAAAGAAGUCGCUUUCCACAGGGCUCUUACAGCCUAUUGGGAACCUCUCAUACAAAAGCCUGAAAUGCAGUUUGUUUCCAGCCUGAUCUCACUGCCUUGGAAUCUCUGCUCUAAGCCAUAUCCCACUUUACUCCAGAGAUGGAAGACACAAAGCGGUGAAUCAUUGCCACCAAAGGAGACAAGCCACAAACGCUCUUCUUUCCAGCUCUUUGGGAAGGUAAGCAACAAAUAACUCUCCACUGUGCUCUUACAGCCUACCGGGAACGUCUCUAAGAAAGAUCUGUGAAAGGCAGAUUCUUCCCAACCGUGAUCUCACUGAAGUAGAACUUCUUCUCUCCCGUGAUCUACAUUGCCCUAGAGGUGCAAGGCACAAAGUCCUGCCUCGUUUCCUUCAAGUGAAGACAGCCCACAUAGCGUCUUGCUUCCAGCACUUUGGGAAUCUAAGAAACAACUCGCUCUCCACAGUUCUCCUGCAGCCUACCGGGAAAAUCUCUUACAAAGGACAGGGAAACACAGUUGCUUUCCAGCCCUGAACUCGCUGAAGUAGAAAUUGUGCUCUGCCGUGUCCUACAUUGCUCUAGAGGUGGAAGUCACAAAGUGCUGAGUCAUUGCCUCCAAAGAAGUCAAGCCACAAACGGUCUUGCUUCCAGCGCUCGGAAGCUAAGAAAUAACUGCCUCUCAAUAGUGCUCUUACAUCUACCGGGAACAUCUCUCACAAAGAUCUGUGAAACGCAGUUUCUUCCCAGCCUUGAUCUUGCUGAAGUAGAACUUCUGCUCUGCCGUGUCCUACGUUGCCCUAGAGUUGCAAGGCAAAAUGUCCUGCAUUGUUUCCUAAAGGCAGGCAAACCAGAAAGCAUCUUGCUUCCAGCUGGUUUGGAAGGUAAGAAGCAACUCACUCUCCACAGUGCUCUUAGAGCCUACCAUGAACAUCUCUUACAAAGGCCUGUGAAACGC
rnacentral:lncRNA from 1 species